GGGCGGUAAAGACGCAUGCAGGUGGUUUGUUAAGUUACAGGAUGUGAAAAGCCCCGGGGCUCAACCUGGGAAUUGCAUUUGAAACUGGCAAACUAGAGUACUGUAGAGGGGGGUAGGAAUUUCAGGUGUAGCGGUGAAAUGCGUAGAGAUCUGAAGGAAUACCGGUGGCGAAGGCGGCCCCCUGGACAGAUACUGACACUCAGAUGCGAAAGCGUGGGGAGCAAACAGGAUUAGAUACCCUGGUAG
rnacentral:rRNA from 1 species